ensembl:lncRNA
CACAGGUUAUUUAUAUUCAUGUGGCAGCUCUGCCAGCCGUGACUCUGUUAUCUGCCAUGCAUGAAUAUUAUUUGAAUACGCAGUAAUACGGAGUUUGUCGUGACUAUUCUUCUGCGUGAAGCGAGGGAUUUGCGGCGGGAUGGCAGCCCUCCCUCCAGCUGUCAGUCAGGAGGGGUUUCCUUUUCCUGUCUUGUUGAAGCCGUGUCCCCAGCAAGGAGGUGGAUUCCCCCUCUACAGGACUAACACACCCAAAUCUGGCUGCAAGGCAGAGGACGUGCAAGCGCUCUGCAUGAGAGCAUCACCAGUUCCUUACUGUGAGUUCACCCAUCACCAGCAAGAGGCUGUCCUGGUGGGUGGAAAUGAUCCCUUGGUACACACAGUGGAAAAGAAGCAGUUCUUCCUGCUGAAUCUCUACAGCAUGUCCAACCUGGCGUUGGGAAAUCCCUUUGGAGCCCAGUGUUGCCAGCUCUGCUGAGUGGGUAUCUCCCAGCAUCACCAUCGAUGUGCUGGGCUCCUUAACAAAGGGCCAACUCUAACCCAGCAGUUACAUCUGACCAGGCUUUGCUGUUGAGGUGGGGGAAGCUCAAAAAAACGUUCUGCCAUUACUCUUCUCUCUUCCUUCUCCUGAGCCCCUCUCCAGGUCCCAUCCACCCACUUGCCAGCAGCAUCUCCACAGGCCGUGCUGAGCAUCACUCCAUGGACCCGACCCCACUGCCAGCCACUGCUGCCAUUCAGACUGCUGAAGUCAAAUUAGGGUCAGAUUUUGGGUGGCUCUGCUUGGAGCCAGGAGUUGGGCUCAGUGCUUCUUAUGGAUCCCUUCCAACUCAGAAUAUUCCACGACUCGAUGAUGUUAUGAUUCAAGGGGAUCUCAGGAAGUUGCCCACACCAUGGCGUUACACAAAGGACUCAGGAAAGGGGCAGGAUCCACGAGGCCAUGCAGAAGACGGGAUCUUCCGUAGCUUUUCUUCCCGGGGAAGGGCUCUGAGGAGAGUUCUGCACCCUCUGCAGUGGGGAACAGCACAGUCACUUUCUUGGAGAGCUGCACAAGGUCAAUCUUUUUCCUUUUUUUUUUCCCCAUUGGUCAUCAUGGCAUUUCUGAGCUUCCCCUGUCAAACACUGUGGUGUUUGGGGAGGAAUGUAAGCGAAAAAAAGGGCAACUUUGGGUGUUUAAAGAACAGGUUUUCCAAUAGCUUGCAAUGUGCAGUUUGCUGCUUGCCAGGCCUUCUCAACUUCUUUAGGAUCUGCCCAUCUGCUGUGCAACAGUGGGUGCAAAAUCUUAUGUUUAUCCAGGACUGAGCAUAGCCCUUGUUGUUACAAUUAAGCUACGCGCUACUUUCCAUAACUCAUUAGCCCUUUAGCUUCUGGAUUAAUUCAAUGUGCAAAUAACGUCACAAAUUGAAUAUUACUGGACUUCUAUUGAGUAUUAAGCGGCAGUAAAAGCACAUUGCUGUGUCUUCAUUCUGCUUUGCACGACGGUGGUUUGUCCAGCGUGUCAAGCAGCUCGUUAGCCUCCCGACAGCUCAGUGCCUUCUUUCCAUGCUGGUUUUUUUGUGUGGUAACCCAGAUAUUAGAACAGAAAUGCAACGACUGCAUGGAAAAGUGGGGAUAGGCAAAAAGGAUACAGCUUUUGGGUGGGGUUGCUUAACCCAGCCUAGGCACCCCUAUUACUGCCGUGCAGAAAAGCAAGCUUUGCUAUGGGCGCAGCGUCCCACAUCAGCCAGAGAUCCCCAUAGGAUGCCAGCACUGCUCCAGGGCCUUGGCUGGAUUUGGGGCUGAAGGAGUUGCAAUGCCAACACACUCCCAAAGCUCCAAACUUCAAACGUGUUGGUGUUACCAACAUGGGCAGAAUGGCUCCAUGCCAUGGGAACCUCCACGGCACCACUGAGCAAAAUGGGUGCAGCUUUCUUUCAACGCGCUGAAGUGGAGGCAAAUUUCAAUCUAAUAAUGUAAAGCAGCAAUAACCAUUAUAAUUAAUUUAUAUAAAAGGCAUUAUAAAAUUACACUUGAUGCAUUUAAAUCCCAUCCAGGAGCAGUGCUCGUUUUCCAGUUAAGCUAUGGGCUGUGCUAAGGCAGACGGAGAAAGAGAGGUGGAUUGAACAGGCAAGGAGAAAGGGAGCUGGGACGUCGCGGGGUGAAAGCUGAGAAGUCCCGAGCAUCCCACGUUGAGCAUCUGCUUACAGCAAGCAAUAUCAUCCACUUCAGAUGGAAACUGCCCCCAGAGCCGUCCUCCCUCCCCAUGAGCAUCCGGAGCCGCUGCGCACAGAGGGCCUUCAAAGAUUCAGCGUUGACAGGGGUUGUUCUGAAUGUAACAGGAUCCCGUGGCAGAUGUAAACCAGACUGCAAGCAUUUGCCUUGCGUUUUGCAGAGGAGGUCAGCGCGGGGGUUUGCCUGUGAAAACGUGGAUGUGGGGCUGCCAGCAUCAGCAGGCAAAGCUGGGUGCUUCUCUUGGUGGUACUUUGCAAACCAAGCGUGGGCAGCGCAGCCCUCUUCUGCCAUCCUUUGGACCUCCCAUGGCCUCUGCAUCGCGCUGACACCUCGCUGAGGCUGACAGGAGCUGCGUUUUGGCCCAGGAGCUCCACACGAGGAGGCUGGGCCUGCAGAGUGGAGCACUCCGGGUCUCAUUUGCAGGGACGGGCUGCGGUCACCGGGACCUGAGGAAGCGGCAGGCAGCCUCCGUGCAUUGGGAUAGCACAGCUCAGGUUUCCUUUCAGGCCUUGGCUAUGUUACCUUGGAGGAAUGUUCUCAUGGUGUGAGAUCUCUGUUGGAUGUGGACAUGGCAGCGCAUCUUCAGAUCCAUCUGCCCACCAAGAAGAGAUGUCCUCCCUCAAACUGGAGAUUGCCAUAGCCAAAAAGCCCUCAAGGAAUCUGCAGAUCUUCUCUCAUCCCAUCUUCCCCGUGGAUGGGGAAACAACUGUGUAAGAAGAGAAGGAACCUGUCCUCAAGACAUGGUCAGAUCUGUCACCACCCGGUUGCCAAAUCAUUGCGAGAGAGUGAUGGAUGGAGCUGGAAAACCUGGUCAGUUCAGAGAUGGACUGAUGAGAGAUGGAACGGGAUCACAUCUUGGUGAACACACAGAGUGAGGCAUUCUUCUGAUAUUCUUCAUGGUGUCUCUGAGCCACCUCUUCAAGGUCACGAAGGGCAGCUGUAGAAAGGUGGUACAGAAAACUGGAUGAAGAUUUUCUGCAAUUCAUCUCAGAAUUGGAAUUUUUUACCCCAAAUAUGACCUUGUAGGAGGGAGCGCAGAAGGCUUGGAGGAGCUGCUCACAUCUCAGUGCAUCCCUUCCCCAAGGAGAACAAAAACUAUCCGCAGGGAGGUGCGGUGCAAACCCUGCUGUCCAUGCUGUGUCUCCUGGAGGGGGCAGACCCAGUCUGCUUCCGUGGAGCACCCCCAAGAGCAUGAACCUCAACAGCUUUUGAGGAAAUCUGUGUGAACCAGCAGUCUGUGCUUCAAUUCAUUUUUAAGUAAGAGUCCUGGUAGGGGAAAAUGGAAAUGAAUGAAAGCAUCCUCUCUGUGCCCAAAUUUUGUGGGUUUUCUCCAGCUGAAGGCAUCUUAUCCGGUCUGAAAAACGUGAAAUUAUGACACAGCAUGCUAAGCUACGGCUCAUGAGCCCUUCUGAGGAAGAUUUUUUGAAUGAAUCCUGGCCAAAAGAUGGCUUUGUGUGUGAGAACCACGUAGUUUCAUUUGUCAUCCCUUUGAUUUUGAAGAUCCACUUGGAUAUGAAGCUCCACGUAAGACCUGUGAGCUCAAAGCCUCGGACAGAUCAGAACGGAAAACAUCCUCAUGGCUCCCUGUGCUGGAAGAAAACCGCUGGCUUCGUCUUCCUAACACAUUUCGUUUGGGGGUUUUUUCUAAUAUGGAGAAAUCCCCGCGUGGUUUGGGUUUGCAAGGAGGAUUUUCCCUUCAUGCGCUGCCACAACAACUGAGAUCAGCCGAGGCACUCGAGUGAACGGAUCCUGGAUGUAAUUGUCUGAGGGCUGGUGGCCAGGUUUUGUCAGAAGAGGGCCCGAUUGGCUGGGUUUCAGUUCCACCUCUGCCUUGACAGAGCCUGUCUCCUUUAAUCAUUAGAGUUCAGUGCACGGCUUUCUCCUGGCACAAGUUGGGAUUUCAUUUGUUUUGGAGGAAGAUUGCUUCUUUUGUUAGUUGAGGUCUUUUGGUUCCAGUUGUGUAAACUGGGACGAGAUGAUCCCAUUGGCUCCAAAGAGCUUACGGCCAGGGGCGGGCUGUCUGCUGUUCAGUUUUGGGGUUGGUUUUAAAUCUUUACACGCCAUCCUUGUGCCUAUGGAAGCAUUCUUACGACUGUAAUGAGGCACGUUUUAUGAACUGAGAACAAAAUGAAUGCGUGCUCUUCCCAGACUCGGGGCAGUCAACACAAACUCAGCGCCAUAAACUGAGUUCCUGAGUCAACCGAGCUUCUGAAUUUAGAGACAGAAGUGAAUGUUGCAUUAUUACAGCCUUGCAGAACUCCGGUUAAUUUACAGUGGUGUGAAAUCCAUUUUUUUAAUGACUAUGACACUGCCAAAAUCUUUGCAGAUGCAGAAACAGCUUCGCAGGAGAAUUUCAAUCUAACAUCAACAGGAGAUUUGGAAGAUGAAUUGUGCAAGGAUCUCCUUCCUCCAACGAUGCUGCUUUGUUUUGCUUUUUGGCAUUUGGUUUGGCUCUAAUAUUGUCUGUUUUAUGAUGUUUUAAUUAUUGUUGUUUAUUUAUUAUAAUCAUAUUUUAAUUGUUUGUGUAGUGCCUUGAGUGCCUAGGCAGGGGGGCACAUUAUAAAUUAAAUUAUUAUUAAAAAGUUGUUAUUAUGUGUACCUACUCCAAACUGAGCUAGAGCAGGGAAUGCACUCAACUGCCUGGAAUUAAUUUCCCCCUUUUAUUUUCCCUUGUCUUUUCUCUACUCAGGAGUGUAGUUCAAAGGAUUGGAGGGAGAAAAUGAUGUUUCACUGCC